rnacentral:rRNA from 1 species
GACGAACGCUGGCGGCGUGCCUAAUACAUGCAAGUCGAGCGGACAGACGGGAGCUUGCUCCCUGAUGUUAGCGGCGGACGGGUGAGUAACACGUGGGUAACCUGCCUGUAAGACUGGGAUAACUCCGGGAAACCGGGGCUAAUACCGGAUGGUUGUCUGAACCGCAUGGUUCAGACAUAAAAGGUGGCUUCGGCUACCACUUACAGAUGGACCCGCGGCGCAUUAGCUAGUUGGUGAGGUAACGGCUCACCAAGGCAACGAUGCGUAGCCGACCUGAGAGGGUGAUCGGCCACACUGGGACUGAGACACGGCCCAGACUCCUACGGGAGGCAGCAGGAGGGAAUCUUCCGCAAUGGACGCAAGUCUGACGGAGCAACGCCGCGUGAGUGACGAAGGUUUUCGGAUCGUAAAGCUCUGUUGUUAGGGAAGAACAAGUGCCGUUCAAAUAGGGCGGCACCUUGACGGUACCUAACCAGAAAGCCACGGCUAACUACGUG